AGGAGACGGCUGUUGAAGUGGUAAGUUGUAGCCUUAUUUAUGGGAUUAUUUCUCUCUCCU
rnacentral:tRNA from 2 species